UACGUAGGGUGCGAGCGUUGUCCGGAAUUACUGGGCGUAAAGAGCUCGUAGGUGGUUUGUCGCGUUGUCCGUGAAAACUCACAGCUCAACUGUGGGCGUGCGGGCGAUACGGGCAGACUGGAGUACUGCAGGGGAGACUGGAAUUCCUGGUGUAGCGGUGGAAUGCGCAGAUAUCAGGAGGAACACCGAUUGCGAAGGCAGCUCGCUGGAACGUUACUGACGCUGAGACGCGAAAGCGUGGGGAGCAAACAGG
rnacentral:rRNA from 1 species